GAUGAACGCUGGCGGCGUGCCUAAUACAUGCAAGUCGAGCGAACGGACGAGAAGCUUGCUUUUCUGAUGUUAGCGGCGGACGGGUGAGUAACACGUGGAUAACCUACCUAUAAGACUAGGAUAACUUCGGGAAACCGGAGCUAAUACCGGAUAAUAUUUUGAACCGCAUGGUUCAAAAGUGAAAGACGGUCUUGCUGUCACUUAUAGAUGGAUCCGCGCUGCAUUAGCUAGUUGGUAAGGUAACGGCUUACCAAGGCAACGAUGCAUAGCCGACCUGAGAGAGUGAUCGGCCACACUGGAACUGAGACACGGUCCAGACUCCUACGGGAGGCAGCAGUAGGGAAUCUUCCGCAAUGGGCGAAAGCCUGACGGAGCAACGCCGCGUGAGUGAUGAAGGUCUUCGGAUCGUAAAACUCUGUUAUUAGGGAAGAACAUAUGUGUAAGUAACUGUGCACAUCUUGACGGUACCUAAUCAGAAAGCCACGGCUAACUACGUG
rnacentral:rRNA from 1 species